UUUUCUGUGGCUCAGUUGGUAGAGCAUUGCGCUAAAAAUGCAAAUGUUUUGGGUUCAAAUAAACGGUAAAG